CCACAUUAAUAAAGAAAGCAGUGGAGAAUAGAAUUUAAAAGCCCAAUUAAUAUUGGAAGUUUAUUUCAAAAAGUCAAAAUUAGACCACUUUUUCUAUACCCAACUCGGCCACCGCCACCGCCGCCGUAUCACUUCGUCACUUCCACCGUGUUCACCGCAUUUCACACAGCUCAUUCCAUAUUCUUCUAUCUCUCCAAACCUUUAUUAAUUAAGUUUUCUGGCUUGUGAGGUUCCAGCUUCAACUCAAAUCCUGUGAAAUUAAGCAUCUUAGGUUGUGAUGCAGUUCUAGCCGACGAUGCUGAAAGUCACACUUGAAAUUCGCACGGGACUUGCGAAACAGGGGCCGAGGACUCAAUGUCAUCGCUACUCCUUUAUGUAUGAUGGAAUUUUGCCACCAGAGAUCAUUUAAGGGGGCACAAAUGUCAUUUUAUUAUUUUUUGGAUUUUAUUUUGUUUUAUGCAUUUUCGGUUUUCCUUUUAUUUGAAACUAAAUCAAAAUUUUACUUGA